UACGUACGAGGCGAGCGUUAUCCGGAAUUACUGGGCGUAAAGCGCGCGCAGGCGGAUAUUUAAGUCGGGGGUGAAAUCCUGGAGCUCAACUCCAGAACUGCCUUCGAUACUGGAAGACUCGAGUCCGGGAGAGGUGAGUGGAACUGCGAGUGUAGAGGUGAAAUUCGUAGAUAUUCGCAAGAACACCAGUGGCGAAGGCGGCUCACUGGCCCGGUACUGACGCUGAGGUGCGAAAGCGUGGGGAGCAAACAGG
rnacentral:rRNA from 1 species